UACAGAGGUCCCUAGCGUUGUUCGGAUUUACUGGGCGUAAAGGGCACGUAGGUGGCUAGGCGUGUCGCGUGUGAAAUCUCCGGGCCCAACCCGGAAAGUGCGCGCGAAACUACCUGGCUGGAGUACGGGAGAGGGAGUCGGAAUGCAGGGUGUAGCGGUGAAAUGCGUUGAUAUCCUGCAGAACACCGGAGGCGAAGGCGGACUCCUGGAACGUUACUGACGCUAAGGUGCGAAAGUCGGGGGAGCAAAC
rnacentral:rRNA from 1 species